rnacentral:rRNA from 1 species
ACGAACGCUGGCGGCGUGCUUAACACAUGCAAGUCGAACGGAAAGGCCCCUUUGGGGGUACUCGAGUGGCGAACGGGUGAGUAACACGUGAGUAACCUGCCCUUGACUUCGGGAUAACUUCAGGAAACUGGGGCUAAUUCCGGAUAGGAAUCCUUGCUGCAUGGUGGGGGUUGGAAAGCUUCGGCGGUUUUGGAUGGACUCGCGGCUUAUCAGCUUGUUGGUGGGGUAGUGGCUUACCAAGGCUUUGACGGGUAGCCGGCCUGAGAGGGCGACCGGCCACAUUGGGACUGAGAUACGGCCCAGACUCCUACGGGAGGCAGCAGUGGGGAAUAUUGCACAAUGGGCGGAAGCCUGAUGCAGCAACGCCGCGUGCGGGAUGACGGCCUUCGGGUUGUAAACCGCUUUCAGCAGGGGCGAAGCUUGUGGUGACGGUACCUGCAGAAGAAGCACCGGCUAACUACGUG